AUUGUUGAAAUGAGUCUCUGCAGGUGUGGCUGCUGUGUCACAUGUGUGCCAGGAGGUGGCAGAGAGGAGAGAGACUGUGCCUAAGCUCAGCGUUCUAGCCUAUGAACAUCUGAAUGAUUAGUAGCCUAACAUC
ensembl:snoRNA LOC120102055 small nucleolar RNA SNORA17